CCUACGGGAGGCUGCAGUGAGGAAUAUUGGUCAAUGGGCUUACGCCUGAACCAGCCAAGCCGCGUGAGGGAAGACUGCCCUAUGGGUUGUAAAUCUCUUUUGUCAGGGAGCAACGCCGGCUACGUGUAGCCGGACUGAGAGCACCCGAAGAAAAAGCAUCCGCUAACCCCGUACCAGCAGCCGCGGUAAUACGGAGGAUGCGAGCGUUAUCCGGAUUUUUUGGGUUUAAGGGGUGCGUAGUGGGAAUGACAAGUCAGCGGUAAAAUCGCGGGGCGAAAUCUCGCACGGCCGUUGAUACUGGCGUUCUUGAGUGCGCGAGAAGUAUGCGGAAUGCGUGGUGUAGCGGUGAAAUGCAUAGAUAUCACGCAGAACUCCGAUUGCGAAGGCAGCAUACCGGCGCCCAACUGACGCUGAAGCACGAAAGCGUGGGUAUCGAACAGGAUUAGAUACCCCAGUAGUC
rnacentral:rRNA from 1 species